GUGCUAGGCCGUGCAUAUAUAUUGCCGUAUAUAUAAAUGAGAGACUCCAUUUGUACGCUGCGCUUAGAAGUUGAUUCGAGCUAACGUUGCAGCCACACCCUCACUAAACAAGGGAAAGGGAAGGGAUUUUACGUUGCUGGAUUCGAGAAUUAGAAAUCGAAGAACAAGAGCAAGAAGACGAGGAAGGAGAAGAUAAUGGACACAAAGGCAGUCCAAUCAGUGGACGAAGCAUUGGAUGAAAUCAUGAGAAUCUGCAGAUCUCUGCCGGCGAGGCCAGUGAUCGAGGAUGUGGAGGCUGCUAAGGCCUUGAUUUGGAACGUGGAGAGAGAAGAUCAGGCCAGGCUGGAACUCAUUGGGAAGCAGACCAAGAGCCCCCGCGUUCCCGAGGAGCUCUUCAUGGUGCUUCAGGAGAUGCAGAAGAACCUAGUCUAUAUCCAAAGCAAGGAGCAGAGGAGAGAGGCUCUCAAAUUGCUUGACCUCGAGAACGCUCAUGCUUUGUUUGAUGAGUUGAUCCAGAGAGCAUACGGAUGCCUCUCAGGUUCCUCAUCCAAUGAUUCCAGUAAGCCAACCACCAUUUUCUCUGACGGUUCUGUUUCUGAUUCUACAAUGGCAGGGAACAACAGUUUUGAUGGAGUGACUGUUCCUCGGGCUUCCGUAAACAAGUCCCCUGCUACUGCUUCUUCAAGCUUAUAUUACUCGGAGAAAAAUCCAGUUCAAUCUUCUGAGUUGUUCACUAGAGACGAUAGUUUUGUCAAGAAGGCCAAAUCAUCAUUUUACACUGAUCGAAUUGGUGUUGGACAUGGUGUUUCAACCUCACCGCAGAUACUGGAUUCGACCUUAAAAUCUACAUUCACAUCAGGUCAAGAUGGUGACAAGUUGAGUUUAAUAAAACUUGCUAGUUUGAUUGAAGUUUCUGCAAAGAAAGGCACAAGAGAUCUCAACCUUGAGGGCAAGUUGAUGGAUCAAAUCGAUUGGUUACCUGACUCAAUAGGGAAGUUGUCGAGUUUGGUUUCACUAAACUUAUCUGAGAAUCGGAUUGUAUCCUUGCCGUCCACAAUCGGAGGCCUUUCAUCCUUGACGAGAUUGGAUUUGCAUUCAAACAAAAUUGUUGAACUUCCAGAUUCCAUCGGGGAUAUCCUAAACUUACUGUUUCUAGACGUAAGGGAUAACCAGCUAUCAUGUCUGCCUGCGACUUUUGGCAGAUUGGUACGCCUUGAGGAGCUUGAUUUGAGUGCAAAUAGGCUCUCUGCACUCCCUGAAUCUAUUGGUUCACUUGUCAGUCUUAAGAGAUUGAUUGUGGAGACCAAUGAUAUUGAAGAAUUGCCUCAUACCAUUGGUCGAUGUUUGUCGCUAAAGGAGCUUUGUGCAGACUAUAAUCGACUAAAAGCCCUUCCAGAAGCUGUUGGGAAGAUAGAAUCCUUGGAGGUUUUGUCUGUGCGCUAUAAUAACAUAAAACAAUUACCAACUACAAUGGCAUCUUUGUCGAAUCUCAGGGAACUUGAUAUUAGUUUCAAUGAGCUUGAGUCAAUACCUGAGAGCCUGUGUUUUGCUACCACACUAGUUAAGAUGAAUGUAGGGAAUAACUUUGCUGAUCUGCGAUCACUGCCAAGGUCCAUAGGGAACCUUGAGAUGCUCGAAGAGUUGGAUAUUAGCAAUAAUCAGAUACGAGUCCUUCCAGACUCUUUUAGGAUGCUAACACAGUUACGUGUCUUGCGUGUGGAAGAAAAUCCUUUGGAAAUGCCUCCAAGACAUAUAGCUGAAAAGGGUGCCCAGGCUGUUGUUCAAUAUAUGGCUGAACUUGUCGAAAACAGAGAUGUGAAACUACAACCCAUUAAACAGAAAAAGAGCUGGGCUCAGAUGUGCUUUUUUUCAAAGUCUAACAAAAGGAAACGCAAUGUGUUGACGAUGUAAAAGCCUGAAUCACAUAUUCUAACAAGAAAUACAAGAUAACCUUUGUGGUGGGUAGGUUUUGGAAUCAUCUUGUUUCUCUGUACCUCCAAGAUUCAAUUUUUAGUUGAGAUUUGCUUUGUGCCAUGUUACCCUGUUAUCUUUUACAGUCAAAAAACAUGUCGAAGUAGCUGGUUAAAGUGACACUAGCUCAGUAGCUCGUGUGGUUUUGACAUUUCUCUCCCAGGAACGUGGCAAUCAUUCUAUCAAAUAGGUACAGAGAUACCAGCAAUUCCUACAAAGAAUGGAGUCGGUUAAUUUUGAGAAUAGUAGCUGGUUAUGUGAGUUCCAGACUCUUUUAGGAUGGUUAUGUGAGUUCAGAGUUCGUAACGGUACAGUUAAGCAGUGAGAGUAGUAGCUGGAUCACGAUCUUGUCUGUUCUAGUCUGCCUGAAAAAUUACAGAUAAUCAGAUCGCGGGGGGUGGUGGGAAACCCGUGGAGCUGCCUGUGAUCCUUGAAAAGCUACCUUACCUACCUAUCCCGUUUGUGUCAUGGGGAAAAGAUGAUGAUGAUGAUGCUGAUUGAGAUAGUUGGGCCAAAUAGUUGUGGUGGUCCAGUGAGGGACUGCCAUAUAUCAAUUGCACGAGUCCAUGUUGUGACCAACAAGAGGCCAUCUUAAAUUAAAUUAGUUGCUGGCUUCUUUCUUUCUUUCUUUCUGUAUUUUGGCUGUCACAGUUGAAGAUAAGAGUUGCCUAACGGGAUAGCGUCUGUCUGUCUCGUUUAGCCUAACGGCACACAACACGUGGAGCACAGACACGGUGUCUUCUCUUUAA